AAGAAAAUAUUAUAUUAAAUUAUUGACAUUGUAGCGCCCGGACCGAGAAGAAAAAAAAAAACAAAAAGAGAGAAAAGCCACGUCGGCAGCCACGUCAGCAGGCCCAGUCAGCAGUCUCGGCCAACCGGGGCCUGCCACGUGGCAAGACCACGUCGCUCCGGAACGGGCCACGUUGGCGAUCCGCGUGGGCGCGAUCGGACGGUCCAGAUCAAUCGCGCGAUCGGACGGCCCAGAUACAAUCGCACGGACGGCCCAUAUUCAAUAAAAAACGAACGGCCCAGAUUAAAACAAAAUGGACGGCUGAGAUCAAAAGGCUAGGGGUUAUAAAUAGAACCCCCACACCAGACCACAAACCCUAGCCGCCUGCCGCUCGCCGGAGAAGACGAACCAGAGGCCGACCGCCGCCACCCGCCGCCGCACCGGGGAAAUUUCCAACCGCCGAUCGAGGUAAAUUUCAUACUCCCGACUCGUUUUUCCACGCUGAUUCCUCCUGUGGCCAAAUCGAAGCCAAAAUCCUGGCCAAACGGCCGGAAUACGCGGCCGAAGACCAGCGGCGCCGCCGCGCCCCCUCUCGGUUUUUGCCUCCGACGAGGCCCUUCCCGGCCUCUGUUUGAUGCAAUUUUUAUAUCACCGUGAUCACCAUUCUUUUCUCUACAGGUUGACCGGAGCCGAAU
rnacentral:lncRNA from 1 species